rnacentral:piRNA from 1 species
UUUGUUUGUAUAAUCAAAUCC